rnacentral:rRNA from 1 species
GAUGAACGCUAGCGGGAGGCCUAACACAUGCAAGCCGAGCGGUAUUUGUUCUUCGGAACAGAGAGAGCGGCGCACGGGUGCGGAACACGUGUGCAACCUGCCUUUAUCUGGGGGAUAGCCUUUCGAAAGGAAGAUUAAUACCCCAUAAUAUAUUGAGUGGCAUCACUUGAUAUUGAAAACUCCGGUGGAUAGAGAUGGGCACGCGCAAGAUUAGAUAGUUGGUGAGGUAACGGCUCACCAAGUCAAUGAUCUUUAGGGGGCCUGAGAGGGUGAUCCCCCACACUGGUACUGAGACACGGACCAGACUCCUACGGGAGGCAGCAGUGAGGAAUAUUGGACAAUGGGUUAGCGCCUGAUCCAGCCGUCCCGCGUGAAGGACGACGGCCCUAUGGGUUGUAAACUUCUUUUGUAUAGGGAUAAACCUACUCUCGUGAGAGUAGCUGAAGGUACUAUACGAAUAAGCACCGGCUAACUCCGUG